GCCAGCAGCCAUUUCACCCUGCAACUCACAACUGGCAGCCCACUGAAGCUAAGCAGGUGUGGGCCUGGACAGUACCUGGAUGGGAGACCUCCUGGGAAAAACUAAGGUUGCUGCUGGAA
rnacentral:rRNA from 1 species